rnacentral:rRNA from 1 species
CCUACGGGAGGCAGCAGUGAGGAAUAUUGAUCAAUGGGCGCGAGCCUGAACCAGCCAAGUAGCGUGCAGGAUGACUGCCCUAUGGGUUGUAAACUGCUUUUAUGCGGGAAUAAAGUCAGGUACGUGUACCUGUUUGUAUGUACCGCAUGAAUAAGGACCGGCUAAUUCCGUGCCAGCAGCCGCGGUAAU